rnacentral:rRNA from 1 species
CGCCGCGUGAGGGAUGACGGCCUUCGGGUUGUAAACCUCUUUCAGUAGGGAAGAAGCGAAAGUGACGGUACCUGCAGAAGAAGCGCCGGCUAACUACGUGCCAGCAGCCGCGGUAAUACGUAGGGCGCAAGCGUUAUCCGGAAUUAUUGGGCGUAAAGAGCUCGUAGGCGGUUUGUCGCGUCUGCCGUGAAGGUCCGGGGCUCAACUCCGGAUCUGCGGUGGGUACGGGCAGACUAUGGUGAUGUAGGGGAGACUGGAAUUCCUGGUGCGUCGGUUAAAUGCGCAGAUAUCAGGAGGAACACCGAUGGCGAAGGCAGGUCUCUGGUCAUUAACUGACGCUGAGGAGCGAA